GUGCUCACUUCGGCAGCACAUAUACUAAAAUUGGAACAAUACAGAGACGAUUAGUAUGGCCCCUGCUGAAGGAUGACAUGAAAAUUUGUAAAGUGUUCCAUAUUUUU